UCCAAGGGUUUAGUCUGCGGAAGGGC
rnacentral:piRNA from 1 species